rnacentral:rRNA from 1 species
ACUCCUACGGGAGGCAGCAGUGGGAAUAUUGCACAAUGGGGGCAACCCUGAUCCAGCGAUGCCGCGUGAGUGAAGAAGGUUUUCGGAUCGUAAAGCUCUUUAGGUUGGGAAGAAAGCUAUUAGUUUAAGAGAUGAAUAGUUUGACGGUACCAACAGAAUAAGCACCGGCAAACUCUGUGCCAGCAGCCGCGGUAAUACAGAGGGUGCGAGCGUUAAUC